rnacentral:rRNA from 1 species
GACGAACGCUGGCGGCGUGCUUAACACAUGCAAGUCGAACGGAAAGGCCCUGCUUUUGUGGGGUGCUCGAGUGGCGAACGGGUGAGUAACACGUGAGUAACUUGCCCUUGACUUUGGGAUAACUUCAGGAAACUGGGGCUAAUACCGGAUAGGAGCUCCUGCUGCAUGGUGGGGGUUGGAAAGUUUCGGCGGUUGGGGAUGGACUCGCGGCUUAUCAGCUUGUUGGUGGGGUAGUGGCUUACCAAGGCUUUGACGGGUAGCCGGCCUGAGAGGGUGACCGGCCACAUUGGGACUGAGAUACGGCCCAGACUCCUACGGGAGGCAGCAGUGGGGAAUAUUGCACAAUGGGCGGAAGCCUGAUGCAGCAACGCCGCGUGCGGGAUGACGGCCUUCGGGUUUUAAACCGCUUUCGCCUGUGACGAAGCGUGAGUGACGGUAAUGGGUAAAGAAGCACCGGCUAACUACGUG